CAGCACCAGAGAUACAAGUAUUUGCCACCAUGGCCAACUUUACCUGGGUGUCAGGGAUCUGGAAUGUUUGCAUUGCAAGUGACAUCUGGCUGACAGGAACUUGGAGAAAUGGAAUCCGAAGUGAAUGCUGCAGUUACCACAAGCCUCAUAUUUAUCAAAAGGUUUAAGCAGAUGCAGGAACAGAGAUGGAAACAUCGAGGCCAUUGUGAAAUCUUCAAUAAAUACACGUGGUCCUUGUUUAUUUCCUGAAAUGUGAAAUUACAGUAGACUAGAAAAAUGGGAAACAUUACCCUGCCCUCCUGAAGAAAAAAUACCAUGUAUAUUUAUUUCCAGUGGUUUUGAAUGUCUUUUUUUUUUUUUAGUUUGAAAACAGUGUGUUGAUAAUCUGCAAAUAUACAAAUAUAUUAAAAAUACCA